ensembl:lncRNA
CUUAACUCUUUAUUACCGAUCAACCAUGAGCUCCCAGAUACCUCAGAAUUAUCCCACUGAGACGGAGUUGUCUUCAGCCGCCUGGUCAACAGGGAUCUGCGGGCCUCCUACACCUAUCUCUCUCUGGGCUUGUAUUUCCACCAUGAAGGAUAUGGCUCUGGAGAACUUGGAACACUGUUUUAUGGAAAUUGGCUGAGGAGAAGCACGAGCGUGAACCUCUCUUGAAAAUGCAAAACCAGCGGCAGUAGCCACUUGCUGGAGUUGGGUAAAACCCAGGACUCUGUGGAAGCCGCCAUUCUGAUUGUCCGCGCAGACUCCCACCUCUGUGACUUCCUGGCGACCGGCUUCCUAGACAAGAAGGUGAAACUCAUCAAGAAAAUGGGCAGCUACCUGACCAACCUUCACAGGCUGGCUGGUUCCCAGGCGGGGCAGGGCGAGUAUCUCUUCCAAAGGCUCACCUCCAUCAUGACUAGUAGCCUCCGAAGCCCAGCAGCCUUUGAGGAGCCCCUCUGGUGACAGCGCUUCUGCCUGAAGCCCCUCUCUGCAGCCACUAAGUAGCUUUUUAAGCACUCUGGAGCUCUCUCCCAAGCCUUGGACCAUAUGGAAACUGUAAAGCUUUUUGCAGAAAAAACAGAAGGAAAGGAAAGAAAAAAAGCCUGCAUGAAGGUUAUUUAUCAGAUCAUACUUAAAGGGAAGUGAUUAGUUGUGUGGCCUCAGGCAAGUCCUUUAUUUCUCUGAACCCAUUUCCUUUCUUAAAAUGAGAUGGGUAGGAAAGCAGGAAAAUUGGGAAUCCAAAGUAGACUGUUCUGCUUUUGAUGCUUAUCUUCUAGUUUAAAUUCAAGGAAUUAUGAAGUCUUUACAUCAAGGCAGGGACAGUACACGGGGCAACAUCCAUGGUGGCAUCAUCCAUGGUGAGAAAGGUGUGGUUAAGAAGGUCAUUCUGGAGAGAGCAGUUACCUUCACAGUAAGCUUAGCCACAGAGCAUCUAGAUGAAGCAGAUUACCUGGGACAAGGGUGACAGACUCUAAAAGUCAAGCAAGUGACAUAAAUGAAUGAAGCAGGCCAAUUAUAAGAGAAUCAACAGCACAAGUGCAAUGGAUUUUCCAGGCAAGAAUACUGGAGUGGGUUGCCAUGCCCUCCUCCAGGGGAUCUUCCCAACUCAGGAACCUGCAAUGGGAGGCGGAUUCUUUACCACUGUACCACCUGGGAAGCCUGAGGCAAAGUAUGCAUCCUCCAAAUUGAUGAUGACACUUCAAUUGCACUUGAGGAUGGCUCCUCCCCC